CGACAGUGAUUAUACAUUACCAGUUCUUUUGAUGUAUCCUAUGAUGGAAAGGGAAAAUUAAUGGUUGAAUUUCUUAAUAUGAGUAG
rfam:Zea mays cultivar B73 chromosome 2, whole genome shotgun sequence.